rnacentral:lncRNA from 1 species
CUGGAACCAGCGUUACUGGACAGUGCCGAGGCAAGGCGUCCUGUAGCAGGAGAGUGACACCAAAGAAUGUGGAUAAGCCUUUUGUGAGACAGCACAAACGGUAGCCCCGCAUAAACUGAUGGAGGUGCAGGACCAGGAGUCUGUGGGGAGAUGGGACAGGCUGGGGACCCGGGAUCCCAGCUCCAGAGCUGACGCGAUAGAGAACAUCUGCCAGGAGGUCAUGCGGAAAGUGGAAACCAUUGGGCCCAUACCGCCGGUGGCCUCUCUGUCCCCGGCUUCAGGGAGUCCUCCAGGCAACGAUCUGAAUGACAUCCUGGCCCAUGUCCUCAUGCUCUCCAGACGGUGUCCCUUUGAAGAUGUCAGGGAGCGUUGCUCUCAGCUUCUGCGAAACAUCCAGCAGGGCUACCUAAGCAGAAGUUGGUCUACGUCACUGAUAACUGCCUAGAGGGCACAUGGUCUCCGUUGCUGGCUCAAACUCACAGAAACACAGACCAUAAACAAACCAGAAAAAAAAAAAAUCUUGGCUCCAGUUUCUGUGGUUAGCACUUCUCUAUCGUCG